rnacentral:rRNA from 1 species
GAUGAACGCUAGCGGCAGGCCUAAUACAUGCAAGUCGAACGGGUGGUCGCAAGACCACUAGUGGCGCACGGGUGCGUAACGCGUAACCAACCUGCCCCGAUCUGGGGGAUAGCCCGCCGAAAGGCGGAUUAAUACCGCAUAUACCCGCAGCCUGGCAUCAGGCAACGGGGAAAGAUUUAUUGGAUCGGGAUGGGGUUGCGUGACAUUAGCUAGUUGGCGGGGUAAGGGCCCACCAAGGCGACGAUGUCUAGGGACCUGAGAGGGUGAUCCCCCACACUGGCACUGAGAUACGGGCCAGACUCCUACGGGAGGCAGCAGUAGGGAAUAUUGGGCAAUGGGCGAGAGCCUGACCCAGCCAUGCCGCGUGCCGGAUGAAGGCCUUCUGGGUUGUAAACGGCUUUUCUCAGGGAAGAAAAAGACCUUGCGAGGUACACUGACGGUACCUGAGGAAUAAGCACCGGCUAACUCCGU